rnacentral:lncRNA from 1 species
GUCACUGAUAUAUCCUCAAAUCUACUUGAAUGGCUGCACCUGUGGUGGUGUGAGAAUCAAAUAAACUAGUGAAAGGUAAGUAAGAAAAGAAAAAGAAAGAAAAAAAAAUAGAAAGAAAAAAAAACUGCUAUGGAAACUAAGAAAAAAACUUGGGUGGAUGGCUUACAAGGGACUUUACCGUAGUCUUAUAGAUUUAAAGUCUCAGGUCUAGGAUGCUUUUGUAACUUAAAGAUCUUAUUUCUGUUUCCCAUUCUGAUGGCUCCUGACUCCCUUGGAGAAGUCCUAAUGGAGUGGUGGGGAACUGAGUAACUGAGAAAUGAGAAAAAAUUUAAAGCAUAGAAUGGGGAAACACGAUGGCUCAGAAGAAAAGAUGAUCCAUUUACUACCUGAAUGAUGUUGCCCACCACACACUGUCAGAUCUACCAUAGCUUUCUUCCUGAGAAUGAAACCUGAGUCUUACAUGUGGGGGAAGUGGAUGGCUGAACUUGAGAGGAGCCCAUGGUAGGGGAAGAUAAGCUGAUACUUGGUGUUCAUAGGUGCUGUGAACAAAUGUGAUCUACAAAUGGAAGCUUCUCCAUGGCUCCUCAGCCAUGUUAUGUGGCCUGAGGUUCUACAGACCCCUUCUGCAGUUCUUCAGCUGAUUUCAGCCCUCCUGUGCAGUCAUAAGAGAAGGUGUGCUGUUGGCAGGUGCUGUGAUAUGGCCAAGUAGCAACUCUUCACUGGCACCUUGGAAGAAUCAUCUCAUGCAGCUUGUGUACCUAGACUCCUUACUUGGGGCUUGGGUACAGAUUUGGGGUACCUGACGUGGGUGUGACCAGGAAGAUGCACUAUCCACAUUACACAUGAAGUAGCCUCACAAAUGCCUUUGAGGGCAAUGUUCCUUCAAGACUGCAAGCCUUGCUAUGCUAGCUGGGUACCCCAUGGGUGCUCAAAGUGCCAGAUAAUAUUUGUGGCUAGGGAGUGUGGCAUCCAUAAAGCGUCCUCAGGAUGAGUCAACAAUGCAGAGCAGAUGCAGCUACAGGCAGCUGGAGUGCAGGAACAUCUCUGGAAGACACCAUAAUCUGUAUUUAUGAUCUAGCUACUUAAAGCACUGCAUUUUGUUAAUGCAGUAGUCAACAUUAUACAUCACUGGAGUUUGCUAGCUUAUCAGGCGACUGUUUUUAAAAAUCUAAAGCAAAAAUAUAUAUGUUGGUAUUUAAUGUUACAUUGUGUUUCCUUGCUGCUAAUUGUCCUUGUGCUCUGCUCGCUAUUUUACAUAUAUUUACAUACUGUUAGAAAGCCCUAGUCUCAUUGUGAAUAAAGAACAAUACACAGGCUAUUUGGUGGCA